rnacentral:lncRNA from 1 species
GUUACUUUUUUUAGUUAAAAAAAAAGAGAAUUAAAAGUAGAAAAAAAUCAUCACCAACAACAACUACUAACAACAAUACCACACACGGAAAAAAAAAACUGGUAAUUUUUUUACUUAUCCCUAUUGCUGGACAUGGGUCAUUUUUCAGGGCCUUUGGCAUAUCCUGUUUGUGAUGAAGACUGUAAGUAUUCAAUUUGCUACUUAAGCAAUUUGUGAGGAGGUACUGUGCAGCACUUGGAUGGAAGACUCAGCUGGGUUGGAAAGGAGGGAAAACAAUGUUGUGCAGGGUACCCUGGCUCUGUACCAUGGAUCACUUAUUCUAGGAAUGUCUGAGUUGUGUUUCAAUGUUUUUCCUAAUAUUUAGAGGUGUAACUGAAUACUCCGGGGAAUUUUUGUGGCCAUUGAUAUGGUUCAUUACUGGAGGCAUUCACACUGCUUUCUACCAUAAUGUUGCUGCCUGGUUUAUUGAAACCAUAGUGAAGUCAACAAUGCAAACCUUUGCACAGGUAUGUGUUCCAAGGACAAAUAUUUCAUCAUUUUGUAAAUAUUUUGAUGGAACAAUGGGAGAAAAGGAGGAAACUCCCCCAUUUUUUCUUUUCCCUUUUCCUGUGUGUGUGUGUGUGUGUGUUAAUACUUGCAAGCUCUGUCUAGAUUAGCUUUUAGUUGAGAAUAGUAACGAGGAUAGGGAGCAUUCUGAACCAUUUACUGGUGGAGACAAGAGGUCCAGAGGGUCAGACUGAAUAUUGAAAUAAAACUCAGACCACAUGCA